UCGAGCGGAUGACGGGAGCUUGCUCCUUGAUUCAGCGGCGGACGGGUGAGUAAUGCCUAGGAAUCUGCCUGGUAGUGGGGGACAACGUUUCGAAAGGAACGCUAAUACCGCAUACGUCCUACGGGAGAAAGCAGGGGACCUUUGGGCCUUGCGCUAUCAGAUGAGCCUAGGUCGGAUUAGCUAGUUGGUGGGGUAAUGGCUCACCAAGGCGACGAUCCGUAACUGGUCUGAGAGGAUGAUCAGUCACACUGGAACUGAGACACGGUCCAGACUCCUACGGGAGGCAGCAGUGGGGAAUAUUGGACAAUGGGCGAAAGCCUGGUCCAGCCAUGCCGCGUGUGUGAAGAAGGUCUUCGGAUUGUAGAGCACUUUAAGUUGGGAGGAAGGGCAGUAAGUUAAUACCUUGCUGUUUUGACGUUACCGACAGAAUAAGCACCCGGCUACUCUGUG
rnacentral:rRNA from 1 species